rnacentral:lncRNA from 1 species
UAAUUAGUCUAUAUUUAAUACUUCUAAUUAGUAUCGAAUGUUAGUAUCUAAACAUUCGAUGUGACAGGAAUUUCAGGAGGUGCUAAAGAAACAAACACUCCCUAAUUCUUGGUCUUGUCUCCCGACGUUGCUGGUCGUUUUUAUUUCAGGAUCAGUUCAGAGGACUGAACCUGGUCUGGGCACGUGAUAGAGUGCAAGACAUGCUCUGUGGACGACUGUUCAGCAAGGUCUAGCAGCAAACAGUGAUCACGACUCAUGAGGUUUUCCUUCAGGGUCAGCUCAUAUGUGCUUCCUGUGCCGCUGAGCGGUCAAGAUUUGAAACUGACUUUUACACUGAUGCACCCUCUUCAACACCCUGCUGAUUGCUCCAUGCAUGCAGCCUCUGGCGCCUGUAAGAACAGGUGAAAUUUCAUAUCUGCAGUACUUCUAAUUUCUGCUGUGACUUGUUAUGUGUCUGAACGUAAUGGGUUUGAAUUUCUGAUCUGAUGCACAUAUAUACAGAGCAUUUAACUUCUGGGAGAACUGACUUGACGAUGGUGACCACUGUGUCUGCCUGGCCAAGUUUUAAUGCGCUUCAGUUGCACAGUUUUACUUAUGGUGUACUCCCUCCAUUUAUCUUGAUAAGCGCACGCGCU